CGUAGGGUGCGAGCGUUAAUCGGAAUUACUGGGCGUAAAGCGUGCGCAGGCGGUUUUGUAAGACAGGCGUGAAAUCCCCGGGCUCAACCUGGGAACUGCGCUUGUGAUUGCAAGGCUAGAGUACGGCAGAGGGGGGUGGAAUUCCACGUGUAGCAGUGAAAUGCGUAGAGAUGUGGAGGAACACCAAUGGCGAAGGCAGCCCCCUGGGUCGAUACUGACGCUCAUGCACGAAAGCGUGGGUAGCAAACAGGAUUAGAUACCCUGGUAGUCCACGCCCUAAACGAUGUCAACUAGGUGGUGGGUGGGUAAAACCAUUUAGUACCGGAGCUAACGCGUGAAGUUGACCGCCUGGGGAGUACGGCCGCAAGGUU
rnacentral:rRNA from 1 species